rnacentral:lncRNA from 1 species
AAAAAACCCUUUCUUCUCACUUUUUUUGUGAUUAUUUUGUGGGACGGCACUUUCUCUAAAAUCACUGAUUCUGGAAAUGAUGAAUGCCCCCUCUGUUCCUCACCAUAGUCGGUCUUGAGUGUGAGGCUGAGUGAGAAAAGGAGCGGUCUUGGCAAACAGCUUUUUAGUCUCCAAUAAAUUAUUCAGAACGCAGGUUUGGGCACAGAUUGUGGGGAACGAUAAUGGAGCUGGUUUUCAGAGCCUGUUCAUGUUAUGAAGACAUGGAGUAUGCUUUUCAGGAAUUCACUUAAGUGGAAUCAGCUUUGCAUAACGUAGCCUGGAAGUAAUAUUGCUGCCAUCCAGCUAGUGUCUGCGGAACAGCAUUCUCUUGCCUCGCAGAGCACUAGUGUAGAAGACAAGAGAUAGGGAGAUAUUUAUUUUGUUGGAUUUUUUUUUUAUUUUUUUAUUUUUAAAGGGAAAUUCUUUCUAACCGCUAGAGAGGGACAUGUUUCGGUCGAGAUUUUUCCCCCCCGAGUGAAAUAGUGGACCGCAUCAGCAUCCGAUUUGGGUGCGUCAUGUGGUUUCUCAUGUGAUGCUGGUCUCGCUGCGCUUUGGAGGGCACGAAGCUGCACUGUUCAGAAGAAGCAAGAUUCCUUCCUCACAGCUACGGCGCUGCGACACAGCCUGCUUUUUCGCAUUUACCUGGGUGGCUGCUGCUGGUUCUGCUGCUGCCGCUGCAGCCUCGCUGCCUGCGCUUCACCCCAGCUUGGCUGAUGCGAGUCUCCCUCAUCUGUACAUCGCUAAGGAAGAGAAGCGAUGGAGCCGCAAUUUUUCUGUUGGUUCUGGAAGCAAAGGGUUGUGAUGUGGGGUGGCUUGGGGGGGUUUUCUUUUUUUAUGUUUUUUUGGUGGGGAAAGAAAGGAGGGAUAUUAAUAUAGGGUGGAGU